rnacentral:rRNA from 1 species
CGAAGCAACGCGAAGAACCUUACCAAAUCUUGACAUCCUUUGACCGCUCUAGAGAUAGAGUCUUCCCCUUCGGGGGACAAAGUGACAGGUGGUGCAUGGUUGUCGUCAGCUCGUGUCGUGAGAUGUUGGGUUAAGUCCCGCAACGAGCGCAACCCUUAAGCUUAGUUGCCAUCAUUCAGUUGGGCACUCUAAGUUGACUGCCGGUGACAAACCGGAGGAAGGUGGGGAUGACGUCAAAUCAUCAUGCCCCUUAUGAUUUGGGCUACACACGUGCUACAAUGGACAAUACAAAGGGCAGCGAAACCGCGAGGUCAAGCAAAUCCCAUAAAGUUGUUCUCAGUUCGGAUUGUAGUCUGCAACUCGACUACAUGAAGCUGGAAUCGCUAGUAAUCGUAGAUCAGCAUGCUACGGUGAAUACGUUCCCGGGUCUUGUACACACCGCCCGUCACACCACGAGAGUUUGUAACACCCGAAGUCGGUAGAGUAACCUUUUGGAGCUAGCCGCCGAAGGUGGGACAAAUGAUUGGGGUGAAGUCGUAACAAGGUAGCCGUAUCGGAAGGUGCGGCUGGAUCACCUCCUUUCUAAGGA